rnacentral:lncRNA from 1 species
UUUGUUGCAUAUACGUUGUUCUUGAUCUUUUAUUGUUUGUUGUUGGUCCUUGAUCUAAUCUGGUUAAGAGUAAGUUGCACUUUGUUAUUCUGGGAUAAGCGAUGGUUCGCAAUGCUAUUGGUUCUUCAUGAGUUCAGAGGAGGAUUUCUGAUAUGAGUCAUGCCAGUAAGCUUUCUUGCAGGUACCCACACUUCUCUCUUCCUCCUGAUUAGCCUGAUCUCUUUUCUAUACGUGUCUACAAGUUGUGUGUCUACAAGCUGUGAAUUACAUAUGUUAGUGAAAUGUAGGUGUUUGUAUUAGCACAAUGCUUUAAUCAGUAGGGUCUUUCCCAUCUAUGAUCAAGGUUGAUUGCGUCAGCUCUGUUGUGGCUUUCAUGUAUAUGACAAUGGAAUGAUGUUAAAUUAUGGUAUCGAGGCUUAUUUUUUAAGCAUGCCUAGGGUUUUGUUCCUGUUUGUGUUGAUCUGAACAUGUGCUCUGUUCAUGUAGAAGAACUCAUAUGAAUCUGUCUUAGGGAAAUAAUUGAGUACAUGUGAUCAGUAUGUUAGCCAAAACUGAACAUUUGAUCUCUAUUGAACUGAAAGGAUUGUAUAUUUGAUCUUUGUUUAACUGAAAAGAUUGAACCCUUACUUUUGAUCUCUGUUUAAGUUUAAAAAAUCAGCUGUUCCACAAACCUUCUAUAGUUCAGAAACUGAAUCUUUAGAUGUACUCUGUUUUAGUGCACAAACUGAAUUAGUACAGAAACUGAAAAGACUGAACCUUUACUUUUGAUCUCAGUUUAAGUUUAAAAAUUCAGAUGUUCCACAAACCUUCGAUAGUUCAGAUACCGGACCUUUACAUAUACUCUGUUUUAGUGCAGAAAAUGAAUUAGAAUAGGAACUGAAAAGACUGAACAUUUACCGUUGAUCUACGUGUAAGUUUAGAAGUUCAGCUAUUCCACAAAUAUUCUUUAGUUUAGAUACUGAAUAUUUAGAUACACUCUGUUUUAGCGUAGAAAAUGAAUUUUAGCGCACAAACUGAAUUAGCGCAGAAACCAUUGCAAAAACUGAUUUUUGAUUUCUUUGCUUUCUUUAAGUGCAGGAAUUUAUUUAUUUUCUUUCCGGAGCCGCGGCCGCCGCCCUGUGACCAGAAGCAUUGGGGAUCUCGAGAGGGAAUUUUG